rnacentral:rRNA from 1 species
GAUGAACGCUGGCGGCGUGCCUAAUACAUGCAAGUCGAGCGAACGGACGAGCAGCUUGCUUCUCUGAUGUUAGCGGCGGACGGGUGAGUAACACGUGGAUAACCUACCUAUAAGACUGGGAUAACUUCGGGAAACCGGAGCUAAUACCGGAUAAUAUUUUGAACCGCAUGGUUCAAAAGUGAAAGACGGUCUUGCUGUCACUUAUAGAUGGAUCCGCGCUGCAUUAGCUAGUUGGUAAGGUAACGGCUUACUAAGGCAACGAUGCAUAGCCGACCUGAGAGGGUGAUCGGCCACACUGGAACUGAGACACGGUCCAGGCUCCUACGGGAGGCAGCAGUAGGGGAGCUUCCGCAAUGGGCGAAGGCCUGACGGGGCAACGGCGCGGGAGUGAUGAAGGUCUUCGGAUCGUAAAACUCUGUUAUUAGGGAAGAACAUAUGUGUAAGUAACUGUGCACAUCUUGACGGUACCUAAUCAGAAAGCCACGGCUAACUACGUG